UACGAAGGGGGCUAGCGUUGUUCGGAUUUACUGGGCGUAAAGCGCACGUAGGCGGAUUGUUAAGUUAGGGGUGAAAUCCUGGAGCUCAACUCCAGAACUGCCUUUAAUACUGGCAAUCUAGAGUCCGGAAGAGGUGAGUGGAACUCCUAGUGUAGAGGUGGAAUUCGUAGAUAUUGCUAGGAACACCAAUGGCGAAGGCAGCUUGCUGGGCUACUCCUGACACUGAGGUACGAAAGCGUGGGGAGCGAACAGG
rnacentral:rRNA from 1 species